GUGUCAGCAGCCGCGGUAAGACGUAGGAUCCGAGCGUUGUCCGGAGUUACUGGGCGUAAAGCGCGCGCAGGCGGACACGCGCAUCGGCGGUGAAAGCCCCCCGCUCAACGGGGGAGGGUCCGUCGAGAUGGCGUGUCUGGAGGCAGGGAGAGGCCAGUGGAAUUCCGGGUGUAGUGGUGAAAUGCGUAGAGAUCCGGAGGAACACCAGUGGCGAAGGCGGCUGGCUGGACCUGACCUGACGCUGAGGCGCGAAGGCGUGGGGAGCGAACGGGAUUAGAAACCCGAGUAGUCC
rnacentral:rRNA from 1 species